GUAGGUGACGUGGGCUCUUCAUGACCUCUCGUCCCACCAGCUGUUCUCUGAUUGGUCGAGGUUGUACCUGCUCAGGCUGGCCAGACAGGAAGGCGAUAAUGACGAGGAUCGACGGCACCGGAUGAAGAGUGUGAACCCCAGGUACGUCCUGAGGAACUGGAUGGCUGAGUCGGCCACCAGGAAGGCAGAGACCAACGACUUUUCAGAGGUGGUGCUGUUACAUGAUGUUCUGGGCAACCCCUUCAUAGCGCAAGACGCUGCAGAGGGGACAGGCUAUGCAGCGCGGCCUCCGCUGUGGGGGCGGAGGUUAAAGGUCAGCUGCUCUUCCUGAUUGAAAGAACAUCUGUCAUUGUUUCAGACACACAGAUCUGUGUGUAUGAAACUACAAGAGUUUUUGUUUCUGAAAAUGUCAGCUGACCUCAAACUUAAAGGUCAGAGCCACCUGAGAACUCAUCAUUCCCUCCCUUUUAUUUCCUGUUGGACAGAAAUACGGAGAACUUGGAUAUUUUCAUCUGUUACUUCCCCAGGGUAGGCUGAGCAUCAGAGGCUCUGUGUCCGAAUCUCUGCUAGCUAGCAUGCUAAGUGCCCUAACAUGCAACGUAGCAUAGCAUCCACAGGGAAUAUGUGUGUACAUUUAAGGAGAAGAUGAAACAGUAAAUUCUUAAUUGAUUUGCGAAAUGGAUCUUUAUGUUGACUAUAUUAAUACCAAUCGCAUAAACAACAAAAAUACAACUCACCAUCAAAUCAGCCUGCAGAUAUUAUUUUACACUUUACUACACCGUGUGAAUGUCUGUUUCUUGUGUCAUGAUGUGUUGAUUUCACCUCAGGAUUUUUGGCACCAGAUUUCUGUCCCAUUUCAUGUGUUCAUAUAUCCUGUACAAUGUCCUGUGUUCAUAUCAAAAUCUGCCAAUAAGCAGUCAAUUGACCAUGGAGACAGUAAGAAAGGCCUGAUUGCGUCUAAGGAAGACAUUUUAAUUAAAAAUUAUAGAUGUCUGAAGGUUUUUCCAAAGCACUCUGUAAUCUCAUGAAGCCUAAAAUGUUUAUUUUAUUUUUUUAUAAUUUAUUAAAACACAUGAACAGAUCAUGUUUUCUGAUAAAAUCUAACUGGAUCCAAGGUAUCAUAGAAACAUGGUGUAUUUUAUUAUUUCUUUCUUUGCUGAUGUAGAUACAUUCAAAUACUUCAACAACAAAUAUAAAAUAGUAGGCCUACCUGUCGCUCAUUUCCCCCAAAAGAUUCUUCCAAGCGUUGCUUUGAUCGCUGAAACAUGUGCAAGGUGCUCAAAUUAAUUACUCACGUUUGUCAUUGUGCAUUCGCUUUCAUCCAAAGCGGCCUCAAGAGGGAACAGAAAUUGUUUGCUUUGCAAAAAACGUCUGCCUUUUUAUUUCCUUGCGGUGUAUAUUGUGUGCUUAAUAACCAAUAUAUUAUUUAAUUUCGAUUAAAAUAAUAUGUUUCUUGGAAUUGGUAUCCAUUAUUAUCAAUUUUAUUUUCUGCUCUUCUCUUCAAACAAA